rnacentral:rRNA from 1 species
GACGAACGCUGGCGGCGUGCUUAACACAUGCAAGUCGAACGAAGAGCGAUGGAAGCUUGCUUCUAUCAAUCUUAGUGGCGAACGGGUGAGUAACGCGUAAUCAACCUGCCCUUCAGAGGGGGACAACAGUUGGAAACGACUGCUAAUACCGCAUACGAUCUAAUCUCGGCAUCGAGGAUAGAUGAAAGGUGGCCUCUACAUGUAAGCUAUCACUGGAGGAGGGGAUUGCGUCUGAUUAGCUAGUUGGAGGGGUAACGGCCCACCAAGGCGAUGAUCGGUAGCCGGUCUGAGAGGAUGAACGGCCACAUUGGGACUGAGACACGGCCCAGACUCCUACGGGAGGCAGCAGUGGGGAAUCUUCCGCAAUGGACGAAAGUCUGACGGAGCAACGCCGCGUGAGUGAUGACGGCCUUCGGGUUGUAAAGCUCUGUUAAUCGGGACGAAAGGCCUUCUUGCGAAUAGUGAGAAGGAUUGACGGUACCGGAAUAGAAAGCCACGGCUAACUACGUG